rnacentral:rRNA from 1 species
AGUGAACGCUGGCGGUAGGCCUAACACAUGCAAGUCGAACGGCAGCACAGUAAGAGCUUGCUCUUACGGGUGGCGAGUGGCGGACGGGUGAGGAAUACAUCGGAAUCUACUUUUUCGUGGGGGAUAACGUAGGGAAACUUGCGCUAAUACCGCAUACGACCUACGGGUGAAAGCAGGGGAUCUUCGGACCUUGCGCGAUUGAAUGAGCCGAUGUCGGAUUAGCUAGUUGGCGGGGUAAAGGCCCACCAAGGCGACGAUCCGUAGCUGGUCUGAGAGGAUGAUCAGCCAUACUGGAACUGAGACACGGUCCAGACUCCUACGGGAGGCAGCAGUGGGGAAUAUUGGACAAUGGGCGCAAGCCUGAUCCAGCCAUACCGCGUGGGUGAAGAAGGCCUUCGGGUUGUAAAGCCCUUUUGUUGGGAAAGAAAAGCAGCAGGUUAAUACCCCGCUGUUCUGACGGUACCCAAAGAAUAAGCACCGGCUAACUUCGUG